rfam:Burkholderia glathei PML1(12) contig00161, whole genome shotgun sequence.
CCGCACGCGUCGGGAGAGAGCGCUGGCCGUUGGUCGUUCGUGUUCAAAACGACAUAAAAACGAAGCCGCGCCGCCGAAGGGGCACACCCACAAACUCUCAGGCAAAAGGACCGGCCGCGUCGAA